UACGAUAGGGUCCGAGUCGUUGAUCCGGAGUUGACUAGGGGCGUAAAGCGCGCGGCAGGGCGGCGGUGUUGGGCCCGGCGUUGAAAGCCCCCGGCUACAACCUGGGGAGAGUCGUCGGGACCGCACGCUUGAGGGGCGGUGAGGGGCUGGUGGAAUGCCUGGUGUAGUGGUGAAAUGCGUAGAUAUCGGGAGGAACGCCAGUGGCGAAGGCGACUUCCUGGCCUGUUCUUGACGCUGAGGCGCGAAGGCUAGGGUAGCAAACGGGG
rnacentral:rRNA from 1 species